UUCCGUAGGUGAACCUGCGGAGGGAUCAUUACCGAGUUUACAACUCCCAAACCCCUGUGAACAUACCAAUUGUUGCCUCGGCGGAUCAGCCCGCUCCCGGUAAAACGGGACGGCCCGCCAGAGGACCCCUAAACUCUGUUUCUAUAUGUAACUUCUGAGUAAAACCAUAAAUAAAUCAAAACUUUCAACAACGGAUCUCUUGGUUCUGGCAUCGAUGAAGAACGCAGCAAAAUGCGAUAAGUAAUGUGAAUUGCAGAAUUCAGUGAAUCAUCGAAUCUUUGAACGCACAUUGCGCCCGCCAGUAUUCUGGCGGGCAUGCCUGUUCGAGCGUCAUUUCAACCCUCAAGCCCCCGGGUUUGGUGUUGGGGAUCGGCGAGCCCUUGCGGCAAGCCGGCCCCGAAAUCUAGUGGCGGUCUCGCUGCAGCUUCCAUUGCGUAGUAGUAAAACCCUCGCAACUGGUACGCGGCGCGGCCAAGCCGUUAAACCCCCAACUUCUGAAUGUGACCUCGGAUCAAUACGACCCCAUC
rnacentral:rRNA from 1 species